GGUGAAAUUGCUGGGUUGAGUGGUAGAUUCAAUUUUAGUUUUAAAAGAAAUAGCCACACUGUUUUCCAAAGUGGUUGCACCAUUUUACAUUCCCACCAGCAAU
rnacentral:pre_miRNA from 1 species